rnacentral:lncRNA from 1 species
GUGUCAGAGCAUGUAGCAGUCAGAGGACAACCUGCGGGAGCUGAUUCCUUCUCCCCUGUGAGUCCUGGGCAUUGACCUCAGGUCAUUUGACUUGGCAGCAAGUACUUAACCCACAGAGCCAUCUCCUCAGCUCUGAGCUCUUUGCUUUUGGGGGAUUCCCUAAGAAACUGGGGCUUCUUUCCUUUCAGAAAUUGGUGUUGAAAUGAUGGGGACCUGAGACUUGUAGAACCUGGAUGUUGUGGAGCAAAGUUAGGGAUGUCUGAGCAUGAAAGUGUUAUGAUCUGUGGGUGGGGUGGGGCAGUGGUCAGCGCUGAGAUGUAGCACUGUGGUCUGGAGGGGAUAGGGCAGUGGUCAGCGCUGAGAUGUAGCCCUGUGGUCUGGGGGGGAUGACAGCAGCUUUUUGUGGUCCUUAACAAUUGAAAAAUGAGAUAAAAAUGUUUCUCAGAAGUUGAAAAAUUAGAUUAAUAAAGUUCUUUACU